rnacentral:piRNA from 1 species
GGCUGGCCUUGAACUCAGAAAUCCGCGUG